CGCGGCCUAUCAGCUUGUUGGUGGGGUGAUGGCCUACCAAGGCGUUGACGGGUAGCCGGCCUGAGAGGGCGACCGGCCACACUGGGACUGAGACACGGCCCAGACUCCUACGGGAGGCAGCAGUGGGGAAUAUUGCGCAAUGGGCGGAAGCCUGACGCAGCGACGCCGCGUGGGGGAUGACGGCCUUCGGGUUGUAAACCUCUUUCAGCUCUGACGAAGCUCCUUUUUGGGGUGACGGUAGGGGCAAAAGAAGCGCCGGCUAACUACGUGCCAGCAGCCGCGGUAAGACGUAGGGCGCAAGCGUUGUCCGGAUUUAUUGGGCGUAAAGAGCUCGUAGGCGGCUUGUCGCGUCGAUCGUGAAAUUCUGCGGCUUAACUGUGGGGUUGCGGUCGAUACGGGCGGGCUGGAGUUCGGUAGGGGAGACUGGAAUUCCUGGUGUAGCGGUGAAAUGCGCAGAUAUCAGGAGGAACACCGGUGGCGAAGGCGGGUCUCUGGGCCGAUACUGACGCUGAGGAGCGAAAGCGUGGGGAGCGAACAGGAUUAGAUACCCUGGUAGUCCAUGCUGUAAACGUUGGGCGCUAGGUGUGGGGACCCUUCCCGGGUUUCUGUGCCGUAGCUAACGCAUUAAGCGCCCCGCCAUGGGGAGUACGGA
rnacentral:rRNA from 1 species